AUACGGAGGGUCCGAGCGUUAUCCGGAAUCAUUGGGUUUAAAGGGUCCGUAGGCGGGAAUCUAAGUCAGUGGUGCAAUCUUGCAGCUCAACUGUAAAAUUGCCAUUGAUACUGGAUUUCUUGAAUUAGUGUGAAGUGGUUAGAAUGUGUAGUGUAGCGGUGAAAUGCAUAGAUAUUACACAGAAUACCAAUUGCGAAGGCAGAUCACUAACACUAUAUUGACGCUGAGGGACGAAAGCGUGGGGAGCGAACAGGAUUAGAAACCCCAGUAGUCC
rnacentral:rRNA from 1 species